rnacentral:misc_RNA from 1 species
GAUGAAGAACGCAGCGAAAUGCGAUAAGUAAUGUGAAUUGCAGAAUUCAGUGAGUCAUCGAAUCUUUGAACGCACAUUGCGCCCCUCGGCAUUCCGGGGGGCACGCCUGUUCGAGCGCCAUCACACCCCCUAAGCUCUGCUUGAUGUUGGGCGGCGUCCCGGGCGGUCCCUUUUGGGGGGCCCGCCAGUGGACCCGCCUGGAACUCCUGGGCGCCGUUGCGUCGGACCGCGAGCGUAGCAAGACCUCACCGUCGGUCGCUCGCCGGCCCCCGCGCACGGCCUGCCUUCUCGGGACCUCCUGCUUUCGGGCGGGGGACGUCCCAUCUCACGAGUUUGGCCUCGAAUCAGGCGGGGAUACCCGCUGAACUUAAGCAUAUCAAUAAGCGGAGGA